rnacentral:rRNA from 1 species
UGCAGCAGGCGCGAAAACUUUACAAUGCGGGAAACCGUGAUAAGGGGACACCGAGUGCCUGCAUCAUAUGCUGGCUGUCCAGGUGUGUAAAAUACACCUGUUAGCAAGGGCCGGGCAAGACCGGUGCCAGCCGCCGCGGUAACACCGGCGGCCCGAGUGGUGAUCGUGAUUAUUGGGUCUAAAGGGUCCGUAGCCGGUUUGGUCAGUCCUCCGGGAAAUCUGAUAGCUUAACUAUUAGGCUUUCGGAGGAUACUGCCAGACUUGGAACCGGGAGAGGUAAGAGGUACUACAGGGGUAGGAGUGAAAUCUUGUAAUCCCUGUGGGACCACCUGUGGCGAAGGCGUCUUACCAGAACGGGUUCGACGGUGAGGGACGAAAGCUGGGGGCACGAACCGGAUUAGAUACCCGGGUAGUCCCAGCCGUAAACGAUGCUCGCUAGGUGUCAGGCAUGGCGCGACCGUGUCUGGUGCCGCAGGGAAGCCGUGAAGCGAGCCACCUGGGAAGUACGGCCGCAAGGCUGAAACUUAAAGGAAUUGGCGGGGGAGCAC